AGUUUUUUGUGUGUGUCGUCGGGGCGACGACAAAAACUGUGGGGAAAUAUGUAACAUAAUGGAUACUGCAGCUUUAAACUUUAACUGGGGGCGUUGGCGUCAGGUGACUGUCGGGCACCAAUUGCCCAUUGUGCUCUGUUUUAAAAGUUGGCACCUGUUGCUGGAGGUAGGAGGCAUGCUACCGCUUGUGGCGGUUUUAGUUAAGAUGGUUGUUUGCCAGCUUUAGUCAACCAUAGGACUUGGCACUUCGCCUUAAUAUGGCAAUUUGCGCGUGGUGCGCAUUGGUCACUGUGGUGUGACUCGUAAAAGACGUUGUGGUUGUGAGCGUCCUUUCAAGCGCUGGCUAUCCCCUGCCCUUUGUCAUGGAAAUUGUGUGGGUCUCGUGAAUGACUUCUCCUCCUGCCGUGCGUGAACGUGCCCAUCUGUCUUGGUGCCGUGGGUCUCCACUUGGGGCUGUCCGCGGGCUGCUGCUUCGCCCUGUAGUUGCCGUAGAGGAUAUUUAGUGCUUGUGUGUGUGUGUGUGUGUGUGCAGGUGUGCGUGACAUUUUUCAUUUGCUUUGUCCAGGAGAAAGUGAGAGUUCUCUGCCUUUUAUUUUCAGUCUGUGUAUUGUUUUGUUUCGUUUGUCUUUUCUGUUCACUCCACACUAUUGGGCCCGCGUAGUGCGCGGAUCACCCUAGCCUACUGUAGCCCCUUGUUUGCCGUGCGGUUUAAAAGUGUAGUCUAGCCAACGUGUGCAGUGUUCCGGUGUGCGCUUGCCGUGUCCUGUAAUUUAUGCUAUUGUGUUUUAAGGGUUGCUGUGCAAUAUUUAUUAGGCUGUAGGGGUUGGGAAGAUCUGGCCUUCUUGGCUCAUGUGGGGGUGUCAUUGUCUUUUGUAAAUGUGUAAUAUUAUUAUUAAAAAGAGAAGUGAUUAUUCCCGUACACCUUGUCUCUCGUCCUGACGAACCUGUGUGUCCUUUUUACUUGGGUGAAACACUCAAUUGUCCCACGGGACUGGCGUAGU